rnacentral:rRNA from 1 species
GUGUAGCGGUGAAAUGCUUAGAUAUGACGAGGAACUCCUAUUGCGAAGGCAGCUUGCUGGGUCGUUACUGACGCUGAUGCUCGAAGGUGCGGGGAUCAAACAGGAUUAGAUACCCUGGUAGUCCGCACAGUAAACUAUGGAUACUCUCUGCCGGCGAUACAUUGUCGGUGGCCAAGCGAAAGCGUUAAGUAUCCCACCUGGGGAGUACGUUCGCAAGAAUGAAACUCAAAGGAAUUGACGGGGGCCCGCACAAGCGGAGGAACAUGUGGUUUAAUUCGAUGAUACGCGAGGAACCUUACCCGGGUUUGAAUUGCUGAUGGCGGUAUUUGGAGACAGAUACUUCCCUUCGGGGCGUCAGUGAAGGUGCUGCAUGGUUGUCGUCAGCUCGUGCCGUGAGGUGUCGGCUUAAGUGCCAUAACGAGCGCAACCCUUGCCGUUAGUUGCCAUCGGGUCAUGCCGGGCACUCUAUUGGGACUGCCAUCGUAAGAUGUGAGGAAGGUGGGGAUGACGUCAAAUCAGCACGGCCCUUAUGUCCGGGGCGACACACGUGUUACAAUGGGGGGUACAGUGGGAAGCUACCUGGCGACAGGUUGCGGAUCCCCAAAUCCUUUCUCAGUUCGGAUCGGAGUCUGUAACUUGACUCCGUGAAGUUGGAUUCGCUAGUAAUCGCGCAUCAGCCAUGGCGCGGUGAAUACGUUCCCGGGCCUUGUACACACCGCCCGUCAAGCCAUGAAAGCUGGGGGCGCCUGAAGUCCGUAACCGCGAGGAUCGGCCUAGGGUGAACCUGGUGAUUGGGGCUAAGUCGUAACAAGGUAACCGUA